rnacentral:rRNA from 1 species
AUUGAACGCUGGCGGCAUGCCUUACACAUGCAAGUCGAACGGCAGCACGGGGCAACCUGGUGGCGAGUGGCGAACGGGUGAGUAAUGCAUCGGAACGUACCUUUCAGUGGGGGAUAACGUAGCGAAAGUUACGCUAAUACCGCAUAUUCUGUGAGCAGGAAAGCAGGGGAUCGCAAGACCUUGCGCUGAUGGAGCGGCCGAUGUCAGAUUUGCUAGUUGGUGAGGUAAAGGCUCACCAAGGCGACGAUCUGUAGCGGGUCUGAGAGGAUGAUCCGCCACACUGGAACUGAGACACGGUCCAGACUCCUACGGGAGGCAGCAGUGGGAAUUUUGGACAAUGGGGGCAACCCUGAUCCAGCCAUGCCGCGUGAGUGAAGAAGGCCUUCGGGUUGUAAAGCUCUUUCGGCCGGGAAGAAAUCGCACGGGCUAAUACCCUGUGUGGAUGACGGUACCGGAAUAAGAAGCACCGGCUAACUACGUGCCAGCCGCCGCGGUAAAAC